AAAGCUGCGAAGACUAUCAUUAUGGCCCAAGAUGCAUCCGCUCACCUCUAUCAGAUGCUGGGGGCCAAAGAGCAGCCAACCAACAGGCGCCCUACUUCAAGCUCUAUUUUUGUACAUCCCUGCAGCAUCUGGUUGGCCACAGAAUGCUGAGCUGGACAAAUUUGUCUGGCAAUUCUGAAGAGUUUUUAUCCAGGCAGAUUUAAAUCACUACUCUGGCCUCUGGAUUUAUUCACCCUGCACUUUGCUGUUCUUUCUUUGGAACUACAAAUGGGCAAGCUUUCAAAAGAUCCUCUCAGAUUAAUUUGGAAAUCAUCUUGAGUGCUUGAUGGCAGAGAAAUAGAUGGGGGGUGGGGGUGGGAAUGAGCAAUGUCUCCAAAUUAAACAAAGAUUUUGGAAAACCUCACAGCACCACCACCCUUCUCUCUCAAGCAAAGUGAGAGAGACUCUUUCUUCCCAAAGUUGCUGACCUACAGGUGUUUUUGGACUACAACUAUCAGCCCCACCCAGAGCAUCCCUUUGGACUAUGGCUUCCAGUUGCCAGCUAUGCUGGCUAAAACAGCUGGGAGUUGCAGCUCAAAACACUUUGAAUGGCAUCAGGUUGUGGAAUAUUGUGAAAUAAAGGGUGGGAGUAGUUGUAUUACCCUGUACUCGAGCGACUAAAAGAGGCUGUUGAAGCAAAAUCAGAGAGGAGAGAGAGGAAUUCUGGGGCUUGUCAAGCUCUCCUCUCCUUUGAAGGGGGAUUUAGUAAGAGGCUGAAAUCAUUCCCUACGCCUGACUGCCUUGUAUGGGAUAUCCCAGCAAUAUCCGAACAAGCGAGGGCCCCUGAAUUGCAGAUCCAGUAGUGGCAGAUGUGAAAAGGUAAAUCAAGAGCAAAACUACUAAUAGAAACUCAGGGACUAGGGCAGGAAGAUAAUUCAAAUUCUGUUUACCAGGCCAAAUGUCUUUUUCAAGACACUCUUCCAUUUUCUGUCAAGUUGUUCCACAUAGAAUGGUUAACUGCUACUUUUUUCUGCUUUGCUACUUUUCAGCAAGUCACUAGUUCCUCUUGGGCGGUCUUGUUAGAGUCCUUUGGGAGCGGCAGGGGAGGGGAGCAGAGAGAACAUCUCCAUGCUACAGUGCAGACAUCCAUCAGCUGCCCUGCUUUUUAUUCCCCAAAGUCUCCACUGGGAUUCUGUUCUCCCCUGCUGUCUCACUGAGAGCUAACAUAAAAGUUGCAGGUGCUCUGUGCUUUAACAAGACUGGGAAGAUGGGAAGGGACAGCCACACAGAACUAAGAGACACACAGGCUCCAACCUUUGGACCAAGGUGUCCUUUUUGCUUAUCUACACUCCUUGAACUUAGAAGACUAUUUAAAUAUUAAAGUACAUAUCGGGCUAAGAAAGUUUGCCUAGGGGUUUGAGGAACUGGGAGAGGCAUACAACAACUUUUGCUUCCAAUCUCUGAAAACUAAUAUUUUGCUUUAUAGGAUUUGCAAUGGCUGCAUAUACAUUAACUUUAAAGGUAUAAGAAGGCAUCAGUUAUCAUUCUGA